rnacentral:rRNA from 1 species
GACGAACGCUGGCGGCGUGCUUAACACAUGCAAGUCGAGCGAUGAAGUUCCUUCGGGAAUGGAUUAGCGGCGGACGGGUGAGUAACACGUGGGUAACCUGCCUCAUAGAGGGGAAUAGCCUUCCGAAAGGAAGAUUAAUACCGCAUAAGAUCGUAGUUGCGCAUGAAACAGCAAGUAAAGGAGUAAUCCGCUAUGAGAUGGACCCGCGUCGCAUUAGCUAGUUGGUGAGGUAACGGCUCACCAAGGCGACGAUGCGUAGCCGACCUGAGAGGGUGAUCGGCCACAUUGGGACUGAGACACGGCCCAGACUCCUACGGGAGGCAGCAGUGGGGAAUAUUGCACAAUGGGGGAAACCCUGAUGCAGCAACGCCGCGUGAGUGAUGACGGUCUUCGGAUUGUAAAACUCUGUCUUCAGGGACGAUAAUGACGGUACCUGAGGAGGAAGCCACGGCUAACUACGUGCCAGCCGCCGCCGUAA